rnacentral:lncRNA from 1 species
GUUAUAUUAAUUUCCCUUCACAAAAUUUACAGUUAUAUUACUUUCCCUUCAUAAAAUUUAUUCGGAUAAUUUCUAUGAUACACUGAUUUGCAGUUAUAUUACUUUCCCUUCAUAAAAUAUAUAGUGCACAAGUCCAUAACUAAUAUUUUUUUCAUACAUUAAAAUUACAGGUUUGCAGAAGAUGGUGGCCAGGACGGUAGCAACAAUGAAUAAAACUUUUGGACUUUCUAUAUUAUGCAUUUUACUAUGCACUUUGUUAAUCCAGUGCAAAUAAUAUAUAGGCAGUUCUUUUGUUAUAUCUUCAGACUUGAAUUAAUCUUUAAUAUUAGAAAUAUUUAUAGAGAUAUAUAUAUAUAUAUUUGUUGUUUAUCAUUUAUUAUUGUGUUUUAGUGUAAAUCUUUCUACCCGCCGCAAAGCGCGGGUCCUUAACUAGUCCUACACAAGUACACAAAUCCCAUAUAUAGUACAUCAUCAGUUACGUUCCAUGGAAGAAGUGCCUUUAUAAUAGUCACAUCACAUGACCUAUUUAAUCACAUUUUUUUAGAAAAUAAAUUAAAAAUAAAAAUAAAUCAUGAUAGGAGUGCAAUUUGAUUGGUUUAAAAUACUAUAACAAAAAUAUGCGGUUGCAUUUUAGGCGUUUUCCUUUCCAUGGCCCCCUUAGGUCCACCUAUAAUUGUCCGUCCAAAUUAUUUUAAUCGUUUUCUCAAAUCACUAUAUAUUGUGCAUCCUCCUAUUUAUCCAAAAAAUUUACAAAAAAAUAAAAUUUUAACCAAAUAAUUUACAAAAAAAAAGUUUUUAACAAAAUAAAUUCAUCUUUGUAUUUUAUUCGGAAAUAUCUAUCAUAUACUAUUUCAAAUUUUAAAUAGUUGCUACCUAUAAUAAUUAAAUAAAUUUUUUUUAUAUAUAUAUUGAAUAUUUUUCUAUAUCUUUUUAAAUUAUGACAAAUCUAAAAUUUAAAUAUAUAUUUUAAACUAAAAAUAUCAAAAUUUUAAUUCAUAUUUAAUUUAAAAUUUAAAAUUUGAUUUCGAUCCACUUUAUUUAAAAUAUGUUAAUUGUUAAUUCAAAAUUUAAUAUCCAAAAUUAAAUUUAAACCCAAAUUUUAAUUUUAAUGAAAAAAUUAAAUUUAAAUUAUAAUAUGAAAUUUUAGCUUUGAAUUUCAAAUGGAAUUAAAAUUUAAUAUAGCAACUAAAUAUUAGUAGAUAAACUUGAGAUAAUCUUCAAAUAUUUAUUUUGAAAGAAAAGAUAUUAAAUGAUAUAAAAUAUUUAAUAAAAAAAAAGAGAUUAUCUAUUAGAAAAAAAAAUGAAUAAAAAUUUAUUUAAUUACGUUGUUUAUUUUGCAUAGAAAAAAAUAAAAAUCAUUUUUUAAGUAAAUAAUAAGUUUGCCAAUAAAUUCAAAUUCAAAAUAUGUAUUUUAUAAAUAUAGAUAUAAAAAUGUCAAUUCGUUUUCAGGUAUAAGUCCACCCACCUCCCACUCCCAGCCACUAAUUACUAGUUCGGUCGUCAGCGAUGACCCAAACGCAGCUCUCCCCCACCCGGCCAGAUUUCGUUAGUGACGACUUCGCCCGCGUCACCCUGCUCAUCCCUCUUCCCGCUCGCUACAUGCAUGACUAGCUAUAUUAUGCUAAUUAAUACCGCAUCAUCCCUAUAUAUAUAUAUAUAUAUAUAUAGCUCUGUCCAUCCCUUCCCUUAUCUCCACGAGUCAAAUUAAUUAACAAGGAAUCAUAUCAUACAUACGCGUGCGUGCGUGCGUGCGUGCGUGCAUGGGCGCUUGCUUAUCCUCUUCCUCCGGUACUGAAAUUAUCAGCGACGAUCUGGUUGAUCACUCGGCUACGGCCAAAGUAAUCACCGUGGAUGGGCAUCUGCUGGAGUACUCCGCAGCCGUGAAGGCGUACGAGGUUCUGGGCCUCAGCCACCCCUUCUGCUUCCUCUGCAGCUCCGACGAUUUGGACUGCGACGCACCCAUCCCGCCUUUGGGUUCUCAGGAUUCCCUCGAACGCGGCCAGCUGUACUUCAUGCUCCCCGUCGAGAGCCUCCGGGGCCCGUUGAGGGGACGGGACAUGGCGGCCCUUGCUGUUCGGGCCAGCUUGGUGUUGGCCAAGAAGAGAUUGGCUCGCGAACCGGGGGUUGCUAGAGUCUUGCCGAUCGGCGCGGCGGAUGGCGGAGUGAUAGAGGAUGAUGUGUUCGAUGUGUUCGAAGGGAGCGAUGGAUUUCAUGCAACCAGUGCUCAGCAUUUGGAAAAGGAGAAGAUGAUCAGGAGGAAGGAGAUGAUGGGGAGGGAGAAAUUCAUGGGCUGGCCACAUUCCAGAGCAAGGUUGGGUACCAUCCGGGAACUUGCUGAAUAAAUUAACCGCCGGGAUAUAUAUACAUGCAGUAUCUUAUUUUAUUUUAUUUUAUCCUCCUUGUAGUUUUUCUAGAUUUAAGGCCUCACCUUGAUGCAUGCUGAGACCUCUUCCUUUAUUUAUUUUGCUUUUUUUUUUCUUCUCUUUUUCUUUUUUGUUGAGAAUUAAGACCUACGAAUUUUUGUUCUGUUUCUUUUUCUUUUCUUUUUUUUGUUCCCUCUGUUUCGCUUCUUUUUUUUUUAUUGCCUUUUUUGUGAAUAUAAUUAAAAGAAUUCCCGUGUUGUUCAUAGUUUUAUAUAGAGGCUUCUUUCGAUCGUCCGCUGAAAGUGGAUUUUCCAACCGGUCAACACCGGCCUUCAAAGUUUAAAAGUACCAACUAGCUAGGUGCCUUAAACGUACUAAUGAAGCUGUUGAUGAAGAGAUUUUAGUAAUGUCCUACUUAGUUUUUUUAAAACGUGAAGUCCGCUUCGUAUGCCACAUUUGACACCUACAACAACCGCAGUAAGAUUAGUUGUUGUACAUAAAUUUAUUUAUUAAAAAAUCGAACAAAGCAAAAUCUGAGUCAACUACUUUUUUUUUUUUUUUUUUUUUUUUAUAACAAAAAGGUAGCCAGCUAUCUUGUUCGUUAUUUUUUAAAAAAUAAAUUCAGUUUAAAAUAUAAAAUAAUUAAGAUUCAAACUUAGAACCUCACAUGUCAACCAUUAUGUUCUUAGCUGAUUAUACUAGAUACGCUCAGUAAAUCAACUAUAGUUAAGCAAUCAGGGCCUGCUUGGAUACACAGUAAAAUAUCUCCACGGAACUUAUAAACUGUGGUUUCGGUCUAGAUAAAAUAGAGAAUCCUGCAACUCUAAAAAAUUCAACGGAUUCAACGCAUUGUACAAUUUCACAGGAUUUUUCUAAAUUUUAAGAUUAAAAGUUAAAAUUUAAAAUUUCAAAAAAAAUUAAAAUUUAAAGUUUGAUAUGUGAAAUGUGAAAUUUGAAAUUUACAANGUAAAUCAACUAUAGUUAAGCAAUCACUCUUUACAAAACUAAGCCACCAAUUAUACUUUGGGUACAUUCCCAUAGAAUAUUUCUUUUUGAGAGAUGCUAUAGUUGUAUAUCCAAAAAGAAAAAAAAAAAAAAUCUCUUACACCUUAAAUCCAAAGAUUUACAAAUGUCCUUUCGGUUUAAUUAGUAAAGAAAAAUUACAGUUAUACAACAAAAGAAAAAAAAAAGAGUCUCACAAUGGCUAAGGUGUCAAGUUCAUACCGAUAAAAUACAUACAUGACUAGCACUGUUCAUCCAAAAUAGGAGGUAAAUCAUAAACUCAUUCACUUAACAUAUUUUUGAAAAAUUUUAAUACUAAUUUUUUUCUUUAAGACUAAAUAUAAAAUUUGCAAACUUUUGAAUGCAUAAGUAUUACUCUUUCUUUUUUACUUGGGCCCUAUUUGGAUUUCAGAAUAAAUUAUCUAAUGAUAAUUUAUUUUGUAUGAAAAUCUUUUAAUAUGGUAGUAAGUAUGACUGUUGAUUUUUUACUUUUUCAAAGUUUUUUUUAAAACUUCUUCAAAGAUAUUGUUAUUCAUAAUUUGGUAAAAUAUCAUAUUUUAUUUGCAUCGCUUCUUAGCUUGCAAAAUUUUUUUGGAUACAAAGGUAUAUGAAUAGUACUAUCGUAGUUUGAGAAUUUUACUUUGCCUCCUACUGUGUGAACAUUUUGUUUCUCCUUCUGUCUCCACAUAUUAGUUCUAUCUAUCAUAUAAGAACAAUAAAAUUAAAUAUAUAUUAUGAACCGUUCCUAAAAUAAGUGGCAAAGGGUUUGGUGGUUGGUAUUUGAGGUCCCAAGUUUGAAUCCUAAUUGAUUCACAUUUUCAACUAAGUUUAUUUUUAAAUAAAAUAAACAAAGCAGGUAGAUCAACCACUGUUUUGGACAGUAUGCAAUUAAUGAUUAUUCUUUUAUCAAAAUGCACGUAAGAAGAUGAAAGGAUCAGUUCCUCUUUAUGUAAAUCGAUUAGAAUACUAUUUAAUUUAAAUAUACGAAAAAGAAUAAAAUAUAUCAUAUCAAACAGUCUAAUUUUAUUAGGAUGGACUUUUAUUUAUAGUAAAUUCAAACUUUGAGUGUGAUUAAUUGGGUUAUUUUUGNAUUUGAAAUAUAAAUUUGAAAUUUAAAGUUUGAAAUUUAAAAUUUAAAAUUUAAAAUUUUAAUUUAAAAUUUCAAAUGUGAUAUUUCAAAUUUCAAAUUUUAAAUUUUAAAUUUUAAAUCUAUGUUAAAAUUUGAAAUCUAUGUUGAAAUUUAAAAUUUUAUAUUGAAAUUUAAAAGUUAGAACUUGAUGCAUUUUUUUGAAUAAGGGAGCUCAAGAAUGGUAGAAUUUUUUUUUCUUUGGUUAGAGUGGAUUAUAUUUUUACUCCAUUUUUUAGAGUAUAGUUUAACUAUACUCCAAAAAUUACGUUACUUUUUUUCCUCCUAAACGCUUCAUAGAAUAUUUUUUUCUACCGCCGUAGCAUAGUUUAACUAUGCUACGUUUUCAGAAGUAUCCAAGCGGGGCCUCACUCUUUACAAAACUUUGCCACCAAUUAUACUUUAGGUACAUUCCCAUAGAAUAUAUCUCUUUGAGAGAUGCUAGUUGUAUAUCCAAAAAGAAAAAAAAAAAAAAUCUCUUACACCUUAAAUCCAAAGAUUUACAAAUGUCCUUUCGGUUUAAUUAGUAAAGAAAAAUUACAGUUAUACAACAAAAGAAAAAAAGAGUCUCACAAUGGCUAAGGUGUAAAGUUCAUACCGAUAAAAUACAUACAUGACUAGCACUGUUCAUCCAAAAAUAGGAGGUAAAUCAUAUACUCAUUCACUUAACAUAUUUUUGAAAAAUUUUAAUAUUAGUUUUUUUCUUUAAGACUAAAUAUAAAAUUUGCAAACUUUUGAAUGUAUAAGUAUUACUCUUUCUUUUUUACUUGGGCCCUAUUUGGAUUUCAGAAUAAAUUAUCUAAUGAUAAUUUAUUUUGUAUGAAAAUUUUCUAAUAUGGUAGUAAGUAUGACUGUUGAUUUUUUACUUUUUCAAAAAAAAAUUUUAAAACUUCUUCAAAGAUAUUGUUAUUUAUAAUUUGAUAAAAUAUCAUAUUUUAUUUGCAUCGCUUUUUAGCUUGCAAAAUUUUUUGGAUACAAAAGUAUAUGAAUAGUACUAUCGUAGUUUGAGAAUUUUACUUUGCCUCCUACUGUGUGAACAUUUUGCUUCUCCUUCUGUCUCCACAUAUUAGUUCUAUCUACCAUAUAAGAACAACAAAAUUAAAUACAUAUCAUCGACCGUUUCUAGAACAAGUGGCAAAGGGUUUGGUGGUUGGUACGCAAGGUCCCAAAUUCGAAUCCUAAUUGAUUCACAUUUCCAACUAAGUUUGUUUUUAAAUAAAUUAAACGAAACAGGUAGCGUGCCACCUAUCUCUCAAAAAAAGAAUUAAAUACGUAUCAAUACUCAUGAUUAUAAACUAGAUAAUAAAACAAUUUAUAGAGCACUACAGAAAAAAAAAAAAAAAUGAUCAAGCACUCUUUCGGACAGUAUGCAAUUAAUGAUUAUUCUUUUAUCAAAAUGCGCGUAAGAAGAUGAAAGGAUCGGUUCCUCUCUAUGUAAAUCGAUUAGAAUACUAUUUAAUUUAAAUAUGUGAAAAAGAAUAAAAUAUAUCAUAUCAAACAGUCUUAUUUUAUUAGGAUGGACUUUUAUUUCUAGUAAAUUCAAACUUUGAGUGUGAUUAAUUGGGUUAUUUUAGUGAAAAUCCUAAUAAUUUAAAAAUGUCAAAUAGUCCUCGGUACCUCAAGAAAACGGCUGAUGACGCCAGUAACUCCUUUGUGCUUGCGGAUUGCGCUUACCCUCACUGCAUCUGAGAUCUGCAAUUCUUAUUCACGUAGAAAAAUGUGGCAGCAUGAGUUAAUCAAGCUGUUUGCAUUUUUUUCGCUGUGGCUACCAAAAGUUCUGACGGUGAUGGAUCAAUUGAAUUGGGUAUAUACAAACGGCAAGCACCGUCUCAUUUGGCCAUUUGCCAAAACACAAUUAACGGGUACUACUGCACUUACAAUUGUUCUGCUUAAUUUCUGCAAGCACCGUCUCAUUUCUAUGCUCUUCCCAUGUUUUUCCAAAUACUAUCUCACCUCAUGUUCUUGCCCCUCGAAGGCUCAGUUGCUUCAAGAUUGUAGCUAGCCUAAUUUGUUAUAAAGGAGCCAAGUAUAUAGCUUGCCAUCCUUUUCUCUAAAAAAAUAAACCAUCUACAGAAGCCAGCAACUUUGAAAAAUUAAGCCACUAAUAAAUCUUGCAUCUUUAGCAGUUUGCAAUUAAUCAGCACCGACCAAAUAAGUCUUCCGUAAAGCUCGCAAUGGAAUAGUCCUCGAGUGUUUAGUGCCUUCCAUAGGUUCAUCACACUAAGCACAUUUGUUAGCAGGAAUAUUAUCAUUUUCUAAUUUAGUAGAAGGCAUGCUAAGACUGCAACCAACAAGAAAUUGUAAUCCGCCGCAACUUCUCAUCUGAAGGUACCUACUCGGUAAGUAAUUGCUAAGCAACUGAAGUAGGCUGGUCCAUAAGCGAAUUAGUGGAUUAGUAAUUAACACCAUAGUUCUCCCCGUAAUGCCUCGUUCUUUGGACUAUAGCUCAUAUACAUGUAUUUAACUAAAAGCCUUUUGUUUUCAAUAAAAAUAAUCCUUACACCCCAUCCAUAUAGGAGUACCACGCUAUCCAUAUAGGGGUGUAAUGUGGGUCGUGCCGGACCGGCAUGUUAGCCGUGCAGAUUUGGGGUAGGGGCCGAUGUGGCGCGGCCCGGUUUCAAAUCCGGGCCAAGCAGUGCCAGGUCGGAGGUACCAAGCCACCGGCCCAGCAUGGUCUUUAGGCCCGGAAGGCCCGGCCCGACCUCUAUAAAUUUUUAAUUUUUUUAUAUCUUUUAAAAAAUUAAAAUGUAAAUAAUAAAUUAUUUAUUUAAAUUGAUAUUUUGAUUAAAAAUUUUAAAAGGUAGAAAAAAAUAUAAUAUAAUAAGUAUUAUUUUUUUAAAAAAAAAUUUUUUAUUUUUUUUGAAAAAAAUAUAAUGGUUUUAGGUUUAAUGGACAAAAAAAUUGUUUGGUUCAUUAGACCAAAAACCUCCUCCUAAUAUCUAGCAGAUCUUGCUUAAGCCCCAAGGGCUAAGGCAAGUUGUCAUGGGCCUUGGGUUCGGGCUAUGCUGGGCCAGCUGGUACGGCCAAACGAGUCAUCCUCUGUUGGGCCACGGAACUCUCCUCGGCCUGGUACGACCCAGACGCGUUUCGAGCUGUGCCGUUCGAGACUGUCGGUCCCAAAGGGAGAGGCCCAGCACGCAGCUUGCUGGAGCAUGGUACUACAGCACCGGUGCCGUGCUGCAACCUGACCUGUUUUACAUCCCUACAGUCAUGGGAAUUAAAGGAGGCUCGUAUUACGUGGAGAAAAAGCAAAGACCAAUAUGGUAAGGGAAACAAUAUUAAUUAAGCGAGUUGCUUCUGCUGGGAGAAGAUCCAAGUUUGUUUAAUCUAAUGGAGCUUAUUCAUUAAAUACUGAUGAUGUUCAAUAAAUUUCCUAUGUAAAUUUAGCUGAGGUAAUAAUGCAACUCCUGUAAGACAAAGAUGCAUUGUCAAAUCAAAUUGAACUUCAAAUUAACUUUGUGAUUAUUGUUAUCCAAAAACUCAAUAUAAUGGAACACGAGUGCAGAAAAUAUAUAUUAGAUAAAAAUUUAUAUAUAGAACUUAUUUGAAUUAUAGAUCAUUUUAAUUUUGGGCGCGUUUGGUUCGUACUCUGAAAGAUUACUAGGAGUAAAGAGAUAUUCGAGAAUCUUAUUCAUAUUCAUCCUAUUAUUAAGAAUGUAGUAUUUCGGUGUUUGGUUCGUACGGUCAUAUUAUUUAAAAUUACGAAAAAUAUACAAUUAUUUUAUUUAUUUUUAAAUUAAUUUUAAAUAAUACUAUAAAAAAUUUCAACAUCUUUUUAGAAAAAAAAGGGAAUAUAUGUUAGAAAGAGAGAGCAUAAUUAAAGAAAUAGGAAUAGAAAUAGAGUCGAGGUUAGAGAGAAUGAGAGGGUUGAGAUUUUAGAAAAAGAGAGAGAGAAAUAGCUUAGUUUAGAGAGAAAAAAAGAGUUGAAGUUUAGAGAGAAAAAGAUAAGUUUAGAGAGCGAUACGAGGUUAGAGCGUAAAGUCGGCGGGUGAAAAGAAAGAAAGAGAUUAGACAUAUUACAAUUACUCCAAUCCAUUAAUAUAAGGAUACCCACAAUCCCUCAAAGGACUAGGAUUAGUACUUUGUAAUGCAUCUCAUUCCCAAGUAAAUUCAGUAUUACCAACUAGAUUACUUAAUGCGUUUAGCCAAACACCGUCAUUUUUUUUUAUUGGAUUACUAGAAAUCUUAAAAAGAUAGCGCGAACCAAACGCACCCUAAUAUAUAGAUAUAUAGAGAGAGAAAGAGAGUCCGGCUACUAUGCUAUCGGUAGCACGGAGCACUCCGUGCUACCAAGUUGUUUUUGAUGAUGCGGCUUCCAAAUCGACGAUCGGCUCUGUUAGACUUGAUCUACAUUAUUGAAAGUAUUUGGAAACUAAAUUUCAGAUUUUUUCGACAUCAUUUGACUAGUGAUCAAAAGAUCUCAAAAUUCACAAUUUUAAUGGCCGAUGUGGUGUGUUUGUGAGUUUAGCGGUGUAAAACAAUCCAAAUACGAUAAAAUUUUUAUAGAAAAUUCUUUUCAUUAUUUAGAGUAGGAUCAGUAUAUCUGAUCUUGAAUUUAAAUCUUUUAUCAUCAUUUUUCAUGAAAUUUUUAUUUUCAGCCGUUCAAGUUUAGAUUACUUGUUUGAUAGGUAAAUAAUAUCGAAAAAUUAUGAAAUUUAGUUUCUAAACAUUUUCAAUAGUAUAGAUCAAGUCUAACAGAGCUGAUCGUCGAUUUGGAAGCCGCAUCAUCGAAAACAACUUGGUAGCACGGAGCACUUCGUGCUACCGAUAAUAUGGUAGCCUAGUUCUAUAUAUAUAUAAAUAUAUAUAUAUAUAUAUAUAUAUAUAUAUAUAUAUAUAUAUAUAAAGGCUAGAAUACUUGUAAAAGUAUCAUGGGGGUGAUACUUGUGUGUUUUUAGCCCUUGGAUGGAGAGAUGUGAGGUUGAGAUGAUGGUGGUAGGUAGUGGUAGGUGAAAUAGUGUUUAAUCCAAGGGCUAUUAAUAAUCAAAAAGUAGAUCCAAUGGCUUAAAACCUAAUAGCACCAUGAUGGUGAUACUUGUAAAAGUAUCAUAGCUCAACUCUCUCUCUCUCUCUAUAUAUAUAUAUAUAUAUAUAUAGAGUAAGUCUCCUGUACUUUCGAAGGUACGGAGACCUCUAUGCUUGUAAGUUGUUUUCGAUGAUAGGAAAUCCGAUUCGACGAUCGGCUCCGAUAAAUAUAAUCUACCCUAUUGGAAUUAUUUAGAAACCAAAUUUUAUAAUUUUUUGACGACAUUUACCAAGCGAUCAAAAGGUCUAAAAAAUGACUAUUUUAAUGGCCGAUGUGGCACGUUUUUAAGUUCAACGGUGUAAGUAUCCAAAUUAGAUGAAAAUUUAAUAGAAAAUUCUACUUAAUAUCAAUAGUAAGACCAACAUUUUCGAUUUGAAAUUUGAGUCAUUUAUCACUGUUUUUUAUGAGAUUUUCAUUUUCAGCCGUUCAUUUUGGGGCUACUCGUUUACUAGACAAACGAAAUAAAAAAUUUAUGAAAUUUGGCUUCUAGAUAGUUCCAACAGUGUAGAUCAUGUCUAACAGAACCGAUCGCCAAAUCGGAUGUCCCAUUAUUGAAAACAACUUANCAACUUUUUCAUCUCCAACCGUCACAUAUCCUCUAUUUGUAUCCUAGUAAGAGAAGACUAGGGAUCUAUUAGUACAGACAUUGAUAUUGGCUCUUGAGUUUACCACAAUAUAAAUUAUGAUAGGUAUGGUUAAUAUUGGGUAUAAAGGAGGUAAACCUAAAGUUUGAGUUGAAAGGUUCAAUCUUAAUCAUGUUUACUUGAGAUUUAGGAUAGUUGUUCUGAUUAUUCUGAUCCUUCUUAUAGGCAACUUUCUCUUUAUUUCGAUAAAAGCAUUUUGAAGCAAAAUAAUUAUUCCAGCCACAAAUCUAACAGAAAUCAUUCUUCUUAUUAUUCCCACUAGAUUGGCUGAUAUUGUAUUUCUGGAUAUGGUUUUGAUUUCAGUUUGGCUUCUUAUCCUUAAAGCCUUUACCUUAGGGGGAUGUUUGGAUCGUUGUAAAAGUUAGCUGAAAGUAUUUUCGCCUUGGAAAACAAAUUUUCAAGCGUUUGGUAGCUCGUAAAAUUAUUUUCACGUAAAACGUUUUUUUAUAGAUUUUGCAAAAAAAUUGAUAUUUCGUUUUCCGCUCUAAAACGUUGAAAAAUAAAAAUAGAAGAGGAAAAAAAACACGAUGCAUAGAUUUGGAGUGCCUACACAGUCGCAGUUACUCGCGAGGCCCAUGGACCGCUCGAGAAGUGUUGGCUUGGCCUCAUGGACCGCAUCCAAUUUUGACGGUAAAUACCAUAAUAUAUGCAUAAAGCAUAGUUUAAUAUAUAAAAAAGUAAUAUAUAUUUAAGUUUUUAAGUAAUAUAAUUUGAAGUAAAAAUUUAAAAUAUCUUUUAUGUAAUCAAAUAAUAAUAAAAAAUAAGGCUAAAUUAUAGAAAAACCCCUGUAAAAACCUGCUUUUUCACUUUCCCCCCCUACAUUUAAAAACCUGCACUUUGCCCCCUCCUAAUUACAAAAUUGUGCACUUACCCCCCUGCCGUCACGGUUCCGUGAGAGUUUCGUCUGCUAAUUAAAAUUUAUUUGUGGAUACCAAAACUACCCUUCAAAAUGGCGGGAGUCUAUUAAAUACCCAUUCAUUUCCGUCCCAGACUUUUGCUGUCCACUAUUUCUCCAUUAUUUUCCCCAUUUUUUCACCCUGUCAACUGCUACCCAUCUUACCUAUCUUCUCCUCCUCCCAGUAAUGUCAUCACUGUAGUCAUUGGAGCUUGAACAUUCCCAAGUAGUCUCCAAAUACAUCAAAAAUGUAUGAUUUUCCUUCCCUAGUCGCACAAGUGUAUACAUAUAUAUUGUUCUUCUCUCCAGAUCAACCAUUUUUGUUUUAUUUUCCUCAAAAUAUACUAUGGAUUAAUGAAAAAUUGUUUUUCUUAAUAUAUUAAGUUUUGUAUCCUUAUUUUAUAAUUUUUUAUCACCUUUGGCUACAGCAAAAUGUCUGGCUCUUUAUCUAGUAGUUGUACUAGUGGCCAACUCAAUGUGGACAAUCCUGUUUGCUUUUGUGGAUUAAAGGCUCCUCAGAGAACAGCACUAACAUUUGAUAAUCCAGGAAGACGAUUUUAUGACUGCAUAAACUGCAAGAGAAAUGGUUAUGGUUUUUUUCGUUGGCGUGAUCCAGAGAUAUUUGAGCGAGGAAAAGAAUACAUCAUCGAACUCGAACAAAUUGGACAUUUGAAGAAGAAAGUAAUAGCAUUGGAAAAUGAGAUAUUAACAACUACUGAAGACAAUUAUACUCUUAGAAAGAAGUUGAUAGAUAUUGAAAAUUCGAGGAUGGCACUUCGAGGGGAAAUAGAUAGACUAAUUGCAAAAUGGCUUUGGCCCAAAUAAAGCUAAAGGAGGAAGACAAUCAGAAAAUUUGCAAAUACUACUUGCUUCUUAUCUGUAUACUUCUAAUUGCUUUGAUGUGGUAUGUAUUGAUAUGAAUGUACUUAUGUUAUAUUUGUUUGGAAUUUUGGACUGUUGUUGUGCAUGCCACCUCAUUUUGUUUCUAAAUGAGUGGUCUAUUAUGUAAUAUAUCAUACAACUAUUUAAGUUAUUAAGUCUCUACAUGGAUCUUCAUGAUAUUUGUAUGUACUUUAUAGUUGUCUACAUGUAAGAUGUGCUUAAUAAUAUGCAUUCCAAUGAACUAAUGCACCAUUCCAAUGAACUAAUCACAAUAAACACAAUAUGCACAGAAGGCACAAAAAACUACAUCUGAUGGUACCAACAGAUACCAAUAAUGCAGCAGAGUUCAACAGAUUUUUAACAAUCUCUGCUGGUACCAGCAGCCAGCAAUGCAGCAAAUACCAACAGAUACCAGCAGAUACCAGCAACUUAGAAGAAUCCAUACAUGAACUAAUAAGAGAACUAAACAUAUAAGUAAUAUUCAGCACAAUCUAUACAUGAAUAAGAGAACCAACAAACAUUCAGCAAAAUCCAUACAUUAAUAAGAGUAUCAGCAAGUUCACAUCAAAAGCAUCCCAGUGACAGCAAGAUCCAAAUACAUUAACAGUUAGAUCCAUACACUAACAGUUAGAUCCAAAUAUAAAUACAAAAGGAUCUAAGUUGAGUUAUAGAUAGUAAUGUAAGUAUCUUAUAGCUUGCUUUAUAAACAGACCAAAAUAGAAAAUGAGUAUACAAAAAAAAAAAAAACAAUUUCAUGUUGCCCCUGGCCUAAGUUGGCUUACUAGUAGAUUCUUGAGUUGUUGCUGACAUAUGCUGCUCUCCUAUCCCUCUUUUGAGAAAUGCCUAAAGAAAGAAUCAACAUAUAUAUAUAUAGUCCGGCUGGGAUGCUAUCGAUAGUACCAAGGACUUGUUGCUAUUGAGUUUUCUACCGUUAGAUUAACCCUUUGAUUAUUUUUACUCGUUAGAUUAUACUAUUCAACCAACCACCCACUCAACCAUAGGGAGCCCACAUCAUCCUAACCGCAUAUUUUUUAAUCAAAGGCUAAAAAACUUAUAGCACCAAUAACUUGGUGCUAUUAAUAGUAUUCCAGCCUAGUUCUAUAUAUAUAUAUAUAUAUUUAAUUAUAUAAUCUUUUAAUUGUUUGAUGUGUGUCGGUCAACGACACUCUGACAUUAAAGUUUAAGCUAAUUACUUAUUUUAACAAUUUUGUAGUUACAAAAAUUGUAAGAAAUAUACUAAUUAAAUCUAUAAAGAUAAAUAAUGUAUUCAAAUUUUGAAAUUAUUAUGCUGUUGACUUGCUCAAAUCAAACAAAUUAAAAGAUUGGAUAGUAAAACCAAAAUUUUGAAAGAUGAUAGUCAAAUCAAAAUAAUUCAUAAUUCUUGUAAGUUCUAUACAUUUUUACCUAUAUAUUAAUACUUUUAUCACAUAUGGAUAUAAAUGAUUCGUGAAAUUAAUAUGUGAGGUAAACAAUAAAAUAUUAUCAUUGCAGCCACUAAACUUUGAGAGAGGUAUGGUUUGAGUUACGAUAUAAAAAUAUAAUUCAUUCAAUAUUGAAUCUGAAAUUAAGUCCACGAUCUUACAAAAUAAAGGGUUUUAGAACUAGCUCUUACAAAUAUAUUGCCCAAAUCGAUCAAUCUCUUUUGGAUAUAAACAUUAAAUAUAUAUACUAUUUAGUAUUUGUUGACAACAGAAGAUUUUGUAGAAUAAUGAUUGUUUGUAUUACUGAACAAAAUAUUAUAGUAGAAGGUUUUGAUUUUGAGUGUUUUUUAAUUUUCGGCUUCAUUUAAUUUUUUUUCCAUUUAAUUCAAAUACUGAGAGAUUCUUUUCAUAAUAUUAUCCUGAAGCCAUAUUGUAGUACACCAUGUUCAAGCUUUAGCCUGUGGUUAAUUAGAUUGUUUCACAUAUUUUGGUGCCUUUCAUGGCUUCGUUAAGUUUUGAAUAAAAGAAAUCACAAAGACAAGAUUAAUUAAGUGCGAUUAAGUUGGAAGAAAGUUCGUCCAACAAAUGAAGAAUAACGAUUUGGUCUGCCACUUUCUUUUGAAGGGGUUGCGCCCUUUUCAUUUUUUUAAAAAAGAAAACAACUUUUGGGGGCGGUAAUGUUUAAUUAGGUAGUAAUUUUAAAAUCACAAAUCAUUAUAAAGCAUCAAAAUAAAGUUCAUUAUAAUUAGUUAUGUUACUUUAAUAUCAUGUAAAGAUUCCUCAUGCACAGCAUAAAAGCUACCACUUUCUAAGAAAAGUUAAUCUAUUUACUACCUUUUUCCAUGAGAGUAUCAUUAAUGGGAAGUACACCUCUUUUUCGUUUUAGAAGAAAAAUACCAAGUACGCUUAUUUGCAGGUAUACAGCAUUAUUACAAUGCACUCAGUUGCUCUUGAGUUACCAUCAUUUUCUUGUGCUAAUGCCUUUCCUUCCGACUGGGGCAUGACAUGAGUGCAUCUAAUAGACAUGAGAGAAUCAAUUCUUCAGGCUUCUUUCCAAAAGUGAUAUAAGAUGAUAUCUUUGUAGUUUGUUUCUUUGUGAAUGAGUGGGAGAAGAGAAGGCCCCUCUUCGGCAUGAAAAGCAAGUUUCUUGGGCCACUGGGGCUAUGAAAGAGAUAUUAACAGAGAGCUGGUGCCACGAUAUAUACGAAUGAACAACAAUACUAGGGUUAGCUCUUUUGUCAAUGGUGGCCCGUCUGCAGUUAACUACUACGCUUGGUGGAAUAUAUAGGCAAGUAAAUCAAAUGUCAGUAGGAGUACGAUGAUUAGAAUUUAGGUGUUAGAAAAGAAAGGCGUGAUUAGUAACUAGUAAGAUAAUAAAAUUUAAGCUUUUCUUUUGUAGGGUUUAGAAAAUUAAGAAAUGCAAAAAAAGGAGCUGAAUAUCUCAAUAUAUAUUGUUGCCAUCCUGUGGUGCUGAACAAUUUGAUUAGAAAGAAAUAAUAGAAUCCUCCAACAAUAAAAAGAAGUUUAUCUUAAAAUUUUUGGACAAUAAAUGAUUUUGUACGUAGUCAAAUUCAUCGCUCUUGAUAAAUGAAAUAGAUAGCAUGCAGUUGUCUUUCUUUCGAAAAGAAAAAAGAAAAGAAAAAGAAAGUGGUAUUAGAUGGAAGGUAAUUCUUCCGGAAUAUUCAAGAGACCCAGCUAAGAUAUAUAUGGCGCUAGCUAGCUCGGCAGGUGGCGUCAAUUGUUAGGCAACAGACACGGACAAGUUUAGGGAGUAAAACAGGUUAACCACCUCGUCAUUGGAAAGAAGAAACUCAAGCAGCCAGGGGAAGAUGAUCCAUCCCUUUCCACGUGAACCCAUAUAUGGUUGUUAGGUUCCGCUCGCUCUCUCUUGAUGUUAACAACACUGCACAUACACAGCACUGUAUCGAUGCGAGUGUGAUGCUGAUUGAUGGUAAUUCAUAUAUAGAGAGCUAUCUUGAAUAUAUAAUUGAAACUAGAUCUCCUGCCCUCGGUCCUUCCCUCGGUGCUAAUUAAGAUAAGGGUGUAGUGGCCAGCCACUCGUGAGCCAUGCACCUUUUGCCCGCGAUUCAUUGCCAGCUGGAUUAGUUGGGAGUUUGAUCAUGACUAUACAAGAGGAAUCAGGUGAGGUUAUAUAUAUACACACACAAACAAUGGACCCAGAGAAUAGAGGUGAUCCACGUACAUUUUGCUUAAUCAGCAAGCUAGGAGAAAGGCAUAUAUUUUCUUGAUCAUCUGAAAAUUAAAGAGGAGCCAGCCGCCAGGCUAGAGAAGAGAGAAUGGACCACAGGGACUUCCUUCGUCCCACUCAGACUUGUUUGGAUGCACAAAAAGUGGUUCAAAGCUUUGACUGCAGUCUCGUCCUAGCCUGCAGAGGUCACGCCUGCGCGGUCCCUCCAUCCAUCAUUCGGCAUGCUUUUUCACGCCUCACUUCACGAAAAUAAUGCAACUUUUCUUUCUCAAUAUUCCUGACGGAUCGAUCAUGCGGGUUUUAAUUUACUGAGUUAAUUUCACCAACGGCCGGCUCAUUCCACCCUAUCCUUAUCAUUAAUUUUUUGAAUACGUACGGCGAGUUAGUCAUUAAAAUUGAGAGCAUAUUUUUCAAAAGAAAAUGGGUAUUGAAGUGUUGGUAUGUACACAUACAGCUAGCAUUUUUAAACAGCAUGCAUUUCUAUAGCAUAUAUAUUAUUAACAUAUCAAUAGUGUAUACAUAAUAAAAGAUUUUCAAGUGAGUUCUAUAGCUAAUUUGCCCUGAGCCGGGUAACGAACAGUAAGAUCUAGAGUGAAAAAGUGGAGAUUAUUUGAUUGAUUUCUCUCUGUAUAAAGAAUUGUUACUCAUUUCAUUCAGUAUAUAUACUAUACAAAAUAUUACUAGCUAGUAGAAUUAUAUAUAUAUAUACAAAAAAAAAAAUUGAAAUGCUAAAAUACAAUUAUAAUUUUUUAUUUUGAGUGGAUUGAAAUCAGUUUUGAUUGUACAAAAUAUUUCACAAAUAAUUCUUUGUGGUAUUUUCUUUUCAAAAUUGACUCAACUUUUUAAUUGGACUCUCGAUCAUCUUCAAAAAAUAUUUUUUUCGACAAAAAAUGAUAUAUAAUUUUUCAUCCAAUCUCAUAUUUAAUAGCAUUAUAAUAUAGCAUAAUAUUUUUUUCAUUAAUAAAAAAUAUUAUAUUUAAUGAAUAACCUCAUUGCCCGGUAAAGCCCUCCCCAAUUGGAUGGGUGGACAGAAUUAUUGCAACCCUUUCAGGCUUCUUAUUCCAUCGAUCGUUGCUCGACUGAAUUGGCUCACACAAAAAUGUAGUACUGUACCUUCUUUUAUUCUCUAGUCCCAUCAAUUGUGCGAAACUAUUGCUGGAACCAUGCACCUACAUUGUCCAAUAUCUAUCUCAUGCAGCUUAAAUCCUUAUCAAACCUCUUUCUCAUUUUAUUGUCCAAUCAAUUAUCCAGUGGUUACAACAACAUGUUUUUUCCUUCCUUUUUCUGCAACUAGUCUUUCCUCUGUUUAAGAGUAAGUGAUGAUACUUAGGUGCACCAGAUUUACUGAUACACCAAGUGCAGGCAAUAACUUCCCGACUAGGUAGUAUCCUGCUGCCCCUCCCUAUUUAAAGUUUUAAACACACAUAUAUUACAUCCCCGAAAUCGAUCCCAUAGAUCCACUCCCUCGCCCCCGCCCCGUCCCUGAUCUCUACAUAUACCCAAAAAAAGAAAAAAAGAAAAAAGAAAAAAAGAUCAAAUAGCUAGCUAGAGAGCGCGCAUGUACACGUAUAACAAGAUGAGGAUGGUCGACCUGGGGAGUCACGUCAUCGACAGGCCGACCGCAGUGGACUGCAGCAAGGACGUGCGCUUCGGCCGCUCCUUCCGCUCCCUGGUGGAGUGCAUGGUCCCUUACUGCUGCGCCUUCCAACCCUCCAGCUCCCUCUCAUCCUCCUCAUCGUCGUCGUCGUCGUCCUCCAUCUACACAUUAGAUAACGCAGCCGCCGAUGCCGGUCCAACCAACCUCACGCUCACCGGCACCUUCUUCGGCUACCGCCGCAGCCGCGUCCGUUUCUGCCUCCACGACAGCUCCUACUCCCGAGCCGCCGCUCCUCUCCUCCUCCUCGAGUUCGCCAUCCCCACCGCUUACCUCGCCAGAGAGAUGCAGCACGGCCUGCUCCGCAUCGCCCUCGAGUGCGACCGCAGCGCCUACACAUACGGCGGCGGCUCCUCGCUGUUCGCCAUGCCCGUCUGGUCCAUGUACUGCAACGGGCGCAAGGUUGGGUUCGCGGUGCGGCGCCAGAUGAGCGAGGGCGACGCCGCCGUCUUCAAGCUCAUGCAGUCAGUGUCGGUGGGCGCCGGCGUGCUCCCCGGGGAGUCCAAGUCCGGAGAUGGAGAUCUCUUGUACCUGAGGGCCAGUUUCCAGCGAGUUGUCGGAUCGGUGGACUCCCAGUCGUUCCAUAUGAUUAAUCCGGUGGGGAGCACGGGCCAACAGUUGAGUAUAUUCCUUCUUCGAACAUAAAUCAGGAUAUAUCUUCCUGCCUGUAUUUGUGGCUCGCAACUUAAUUAAUUAAUUAUAUAUCUUUCUCUCUCUACAUAUAUAUAUAUAUAUAUAUAUAUAUAUAAAAGUACAUAUGGAAAGGCCAGUUAUUAAUUAAUUAGAUGUUGGACUACCGUGCUGCACUGUAGUACUGUACUGUAUAUAUCCCGGUUGGGUUUCCUCAAAAUUAUGUUCCCCGUCGCAUGCAAUGUUUCAACUUAAGUGCCUCAUCCUCUAUAUAUGUCUUAUUUCACUGUUUUUCUUUUUAUUUUUCUGAGAAAACUUUCCAUAACAGUUUUGACGUGUGCUGCAACAAAACAAAAUGAGUCGUGAGAAUCGAUGAGGAAAGGAAAAAGAAAUUAGGUGUAAUGGCCUGAGCAGCGGCCUAAUCUUUGCUUUAUCAGAACUCCGCAAUAUUUCUUUUCAGUGACGUCCAGCUAUGUGACACACGUGCUUCUAGCUGCUUGCGUUGUAUGUCCGGCUAUUUAUAUGGUUCUCUGUGGAAUCUCCCAACUUGGGAAAGUGCGGACGAGAAGAGGACAUGCACAGAAUCGGAUGGAGAAUUAAAGCUGGGCCUUGGAAGUGGGCCGCUUUCAUUCUCUCGCACUGAAAUUGUGGAUGGUCCAGUUCUCUACACGUACAAUUAUAACGUUGCCUGGGCAUGCUGCGAAUCUGUCGCCAUCCUCUCCGCGGACGUUGUGUCGAUCAUCUUACUGUGGACUCGAUCUCAGCCGUCUCUGAUCAGCUGGGAAGAAUUUGCACCGUCUGCUAUCCUGCAAUGGAGCUGCUGGGGUCGAACAGUCUCGUUAGCCCUUAACUUUGCUUCUCCACAAGCCUUCUUCGCUUCUUUUACAUUAUUACGUACGUACUUUCGUCAUGUAUUUAGGCACUGCCAAUACUCUAAACAUUAUUAUAAAAGGAAUAAAGAGACCAUGCUACGCCUUUUAAGGCCUCUAGCUUAGCCAAGUGAACAUUUAGCUAUCGUUUGGUUCGGAAUUAAAAAAAAACUAGUUAUUUCAGGAAUAGAAUUAAGUUUAGGAUUAAGAUAGGAUUAGAGUAUUUUUGUGUUUGGUUGGGGGUUGGAAUUAGUCUAGGAUAGUAAAAAAUAGUAUUUGGUUGGAAUAGAUGGGAUAAGAAGAAUAAUAGGUUAUUAUGAAUAAAAAAUAGUGUUUGGUUGGGGUUUGGUGGAGUUAGGUGAGGUUAGCUAAUCCGAGAUAACCCAUUUGAGGUGGGAUUAGCUAAUCCCACCUAUUUUUAGAAAUGUUUGGAGAUAAAAUAGGGGUUAAAGAAUUAUUCCACCCCUUAACCCCCAACCAAACGGAGGCUAAACAGAAUUGAUUCCAAAGCUCAAGUUCAACCGUUGAGCAUUUAUCAAAUAAAAACUAAUAAAUAAUGACAUAAAAAAUAAUAAAAAUGAUCUCAAAUCACGGUCCAACUAAAAAUAAUAAGCAACUAUUAAAUGGAAGCCUACAUCCGAGUCAGACAUUUGUAGAUUAAGUCGUUUUAGAAAAUAACUUGGCUUCUUUCAAAUUCAAUGUAAAUAGUAACGUGGGACUAGCAAAUUUGCAUGCGCUAUGGUAUGUCUAUUUUACCGAAAAUGAACAGGAUGAAGUUGUUUUCAAUCGUAAUUGUUCAUUUUUAUUGUUUGAUUUAUCUAACUAUACAUUAAGUCGAAAUUCAAAGUUUUUAUAGUUAUGUACGUAAUUAAUUUCGGCCCAUUCUAGACCUAAGUCAAUUACAAAUAAUAAUAAUAAUAUUAUUAUUAUUAUUGUUAAUUUAUUUUUUAUAUUUUUAAUUUUUACGCUGCCAAACAAAUAACAAUUCUAACGAAACUUCAAUUCUACAACUAUAUUUAUAAAUAAACACUGAAAAAAGAUUCAUAAAAAAAAAUAAACACUGAAAAAGUAAUUUUUAUAGAAACUCUUAUAUACCGAAAGUUUUUUUUUUUAGAGAAAUAGAUAGCAUGCUACCCGUUUCGUUUAUUUUAUUUAUUUAUAAAUAAACUUAGCGAGAAAUGUGAAUCAACUAAGAUUUGAACUUGGGUCUCAGAUACCAACCACCAAGCCGUUUGCCACUUGCUCUAGGGACGGUCGGUUUAUAUACCGAAAGUUUUAUUUCAACUAUUCAGUGAAACAAGCAUAUUCUACGAGUACGCUUACAUUAAAAGAACUUGAAAUCGAAUUUAUCUUUUUUUCCUUUGAAAAGGCCUUGAAAGGAGAAUGAUUGAUCAUACGAAAAAUAGCAUUUUUUUUUAUUCAAUAAAUAAAGUAGAUAUCGUGCUAUCUAUUCUCAAAAAAUAGCAUUUUUUAAAAAAAAUUAAAGACAGAACCCACAUGAGACGUCAUUAGGGUCUCACAAGGGUCUGAAUUCGUUUAGAUGACUAAAUCACAACUUUCCCUGAAGGUUGUGAAAUCUAAAAUUCAGUCAAGCUGUCACUUGUCAGUCCUUGGAUUUCCGAUCGAUAUUAGCAAUGCCUGAUCGUGUGUAACAAUUCAGGCAAUUAGGACUAAUAGUUUAUUGGGCACAGACGGGCAUAAAUGAUCGAUCCAAAAUACAUCAGCUUGGUCUAUGACCCGGCACCCUCUCGACCUAGACAAUGUCGUGCUGCGCUAGAUCGCACCAAGCAACGAGCCUAUCUAUUUUUCUACAUUUUUGUUUUUUUAUUUUAAAAAUUUUAAUUUUAUAAAAACAUACUUAUUUAUUAAAUAAAAAAAAUAAAUUUAAUAUUUAAUAUUUUUCCAUUGCUCGGCCAAUUACUCGGUGCUUCCCGAAUCCCAAGUAGUUGCAGGUUUCAUGGGCUUAUUUGGCGAUCGUAAAAAUAAAAAAUAAAAAUAGUAAGAUUUUUAAUAAUUUGUAUUGAGGGUUUGCGAAACAGGAGCUUAUAGUAAGCCCGAUUUCCCUAUUCGGCGGGCACUUCCCCUCGCAUUCUUCUUCACCCAAAAACCCUAACACUCGCUCCGAAGGAGAAAAGAAGAAGAGGGAAGUUUGCACAAGGAGAGGAAAGCUUAUAUGCAGGCAACGGCCGCUUGGAAGAUUUUCUUCUCGAUGCAGGCGAGGGCUGCUUGGAGACGCCUCUCCCACGCGCCUAAAGAUUGGAACUUCCAGAGCCCCUGGAUCUCGCCUCUGCUUCCCCGCCCACUUCUUCCUGCUCGUGUACCGCCCAUAGUCGAGUUCAGCACGACCCCCAGCAGGCCCAUGAGAGGCCGCGGGAGAAGAGCCGGAAGAGACGACGGCCCUUCGGAAGAGGAAGAGGAGGAGGAUUUCUUCCUCCGCACUCUCAACUUCGGCGACGACGGCGGGAACGAGAGAGCAAGAGAGAAGAACCUGGCCGACCCCCAGCAAGGCCCUCCGAGGCCCGCUAGGAGGCCACCGAGGGGCGAGCGAAGGUCGGACACGCCGCGNGGAGAAAAGAAGAAGAGGGAAGCUUGCAGAAGGAGAGGAAAGCUUAUAUGCAGGCAACGGCCGCUUGGAAGAUUUUCUUCUCGAUGCAGGCGAGGGCUGCUUGGAGACGCCUCUCCCACUCGCCUAAAGAUUGGAACUUCCAGAGCCCCUGGAUCUCGUCUCUGCUUCCCCGCCCACUUCUUCCUGCUCGCGUACCGCCCAUAGUCGAGUUCAGCACGACCCCCAGCAGGCCCAUGAGAGGCCGCGGGAGAAGAGCCGGAAGAGACGACGGCCCUUCGGAAGAGGAAGAGGAAGAGAAAGAGGAAGAGGAGGAGGAUUUCUUCCUCCGCACUCUCAACUUCGGCGACGACGGCGGGAACGAGAGAGCAAGAGAGAAGAACCUGGCCGACCCCCAGCAAGGCCCUCCGAGGCCCGCUAGGAGGCCACCGAGGGGCGAGCGAAGGUCGGACACGCCGCGCGAUGUCGAGGCAGAUGAUUUCUUUCCCCAUUUCCAGGAUGGAAACGAGAUACUGCUAGGCGGCGGCCGGAGGUCAUCUUCCUACCGAAUGCCCAAUAGACCGCCGCCGGCAGGAGAGCGAAGGGGGAAGGCUCCUGGAACUCUCCGUCAUAAUCUGAAGGCCGGUGACAUCGAUGAAGAUGUAUACGGAGAUUUCGAAGCUUUACUUCGAGAAGAAGAAUCUCCUCCUCCUCCUCCUCCUCCUCCGAGACCCCCCAUGAGACCCAAGGAAGCUGGAAAGAGUGAUGGAGCGAUCAAGAUCAACGACGAGUCAGACGAUCCCUCUACCAGGGAGAAAGGCGGUGCCGGACUAGGUGAAACCCUCUUUCAAAAAUUGAAACUUGGGGAUGCUGCUCCCGGCGAUAAAAUGGAAGGUGAAACUCAACGCAAGUCCCCUGCAAAUCUCUCCGACACCGAUUCUGCAGCAACCGAGCCUCCGCCCCAAGAUGCGGAGGAGGUCUUCAAGAAGAUGAAGGAGACGGGCCUUAUCCCAAAUGCGGUUGCCAUGCUUGACGGCCUCUGCAAAGAUGGGCUGAUUCAAGAAGCCAUGAAGCUCUUUGGGCUGAUGCGUGAGAAGGGAACCAUCCCCGAGGUCGUCAUCUACACUGCUGUCGUGGACGGCUUCUGCAAGGCCGCUAAGUUUGACGACGCCAAGAGGAUCUUCCGGAAGAUGCAAAAGAACGGGAUUGUACCCAAUGCUUUCAGCUAUGCAGUUCUGAUACAGGGCUUGUCCAACGGUGGGAAAUUGGAUGAGUCUGUUGAGUUCUGCACGGAAAUGUUCGAAGCAGGGCAUUCUCCGAAUGCAACUACCUUCAUCGGGUUGGUCAAUGGGUUCUGUAAAGAGAAGGGGGUGGAGGAAGCCGAGAAACUUGUAAAAAGUUUUCGUGAGAGGAACUUCAUUGUUGAUGAGAAGGCUGUAAGGGAGCAUUUGGACAAGAAGGGCCCCUUCUCACCGCUAGUUUGGGAGGCUAUCUUUGGUAAGAAGAUCUCGCAGAGGCCAUUCUGAUCUCUUCUUGUUCUUGGGGUUGCUUGGCGAGUACAAGUUUUGAUCUUAGUUACUUUUACCCUGGCAUAAUUGACCGCUCUACGGAAUUUCCGAGUUUAAGGAUUGUUUUCUUCUUCUUCUUUUUUCCUCUUCAUCCUAAUCAUGUUUUAUGUAGAAUCAGCAAGCAGUUGAAAAGAUGGUUACGUUAUCAGCUGAAUCUCUCAUCUGUUUCUUGUUGUCCUCGCCUCUUUGUUAAGCAUUGAAUGUGCUAUGAUUCUUCUACUCAAAGAAAAAAAAAGAUUUUUGAUUAUUUCUAAAUGUUGGUGGAAUUCUCAACCUGUUUUCUUGUGGAGAUAAUCAUAGAUACUUUGUUGAUGAUGUAAAUGGAGAAAUAAUAAUAAUGAUAAUGGCCUCUUGAGAGAAGAACAAGUAAUAUCUAACCCUACAAUACUGAUCGUCAUAAGGCAUGUUAUGUUAAAGAUAGAGAGCUUUAACAGCCAAUAUUUCUUAGAUAUACAAUCCCCAGCAGAAAAAUCAUCUGCAGUGCAUUAUAACGGACAUGGAUUGAGGCUCCAAUUCACAAGGAUUACAAAGUUACUCUGCUCAGGAAACACGCAAUGGGAACCCAUGACUAAAGAAUUGAGUUUGGGAGAAUAUAAAACUUAAUCUGGCGUAAAUGUGAAUAUAUACUCUGUAUUGCAACCUUCGCAAAUCAAGGUACUCUUUCAUCCUUCAUGUCUUUGCUGUCUCGAGCCUUUUCAUCCUUCUUGUCUGACAGUGGUGAUAUCAAAUAUGGAAGCCUUUUAGAGAAUAAAUUAGCUCAAAGUGCAUUAACUGGUCAAACUACCUUGAAGUUGUAGUCUGGGAUGAUUAAACCUUGUAUAUCAUGUUGUGUGCAAAUACAUAAUUAAAUAUAUUAGAUAGAUCUGGUAGAUUUACGAAAAUAUCUAACACAAUUUCUCUAAUUUGCGGAAAAUAUGCAUUCUUGGUUCCUGCUGAAAGGGUAUCUCAUUCUUUUAUUGCAACUCAGACCAUGAUAAACACUCCAAAGAAACCACAAAAUGAUGUAUUCUUUACUUGCCCGAUAAUCACAAGACUGCACUCUACACUUCCGAAACUAUGCAAUAAUAAUCAUUGCUUCUCAUUGCUGUACAUGAUUACCGAUACAUUUCCUUUAUGCUUAUCUUGGUAGAAUAUCCGAUUAAGGUGAAUCUUUCUGAGACAAGGAAGGCGAGCACUCGGUAGUCCUUGUGGGUUGAACGCCUGCACACAAGUAUUAAAGAAAAACAUGAUCAUAUUUCAUUAGCUGUUGCUUUAUGGCUUCCCUAUAAAUUGCCAAAGCAUCGCUACUUGCUGGGUAGUCCAAUCCCAAGUGAUGUCUUAUCUUAUCUAGACAUUUAUCUUUUGAAGGUAAUUAUGAGGCUCAUACUGAUUUGCAUAUUGGAUGCCCUUUUUACAAAACCUUGACCUGAUUCACACUGAUUCUAACAGUAAUAUCUGGAUUAAAUAGAAGUUUGUCAUUCAUAGUCGGUCGAUUAAAUUUCUGGACUAAAUCGGUAAGCAAUAAUAUGUUAUCUCGGUGAGAAGCGUAGAACUGGCACAUGUUUCGUAUUGCAUAGUAUUAUGAGUUACAUGUACUCGAAUUACAUGUUGCAUGUGUUUGUUGUCACAUAUUAUCUGUAUUUGCAUACCCCCUUAGAGCGGAAAUUUGGUUUUAUAUCCUUUAGAAUAGUUUAUACACGCAUGGAUGCUGCUCUGUCUGACUUUCUGUGAGAAUCUUGACAUCAAAGAAAUGAAGGAUUGUUUCUAAUGCUAAACCGUUUUGUACAAUUACCUUUUAAUGUUUACGAAGAAUAUCUUAAUGGGGGCAUGUAGAUCUAUUUCAAGCCAGGGUGCUACCGAGGAAAGUAAGUAUGGUUAAACAAAAGACUUAAACAAAAGACUAUUUAUGCUGGGUGGACUUAAACAAAAGACUAUUUAUGCUGGGUGUACAUUGUAUCUAAUAUGCAAUAGUUUGAAGGAUGGUGGUGCAAAUAUGCACUUAAGAGUGUAUGCAGGCACAUGCAUUCUCAAGGGACUAACACAAAAUGUCCUAUAUAGUUUUAAGUCAUACAAGCAUACAAUGAUCUGGGGUUUUUCUUAUAAAGGUAAUGUAAUGUCUGGAGACAAAGAUGCAUUUCAUUUCGUUUUUUCAGGGCAAAGAUCUUGUUAUUUUUACCUCUACUUUUGGUGGUUGGGCAGUGAUGGGCGUUCAUUUCAUUGAAUUUUCAUGAUUCAAUUAUAUUUUAGAGUGGUCCUCACCUCAAAAUUUUUCAAGACGCUGAAUGAGCACUUCCUCGGCAUCCCAUGGUACAUCCUUCAGGUUGGAGUCUGGUUCCUCCCCAGUUAGUUUAAGAGGAACAUGUAGCUGAGGCGGAGUCUGCAAAGAAAUGCGAUACUUUAUUAGAGUGUUGAAUAUAAGGGCACAUUUAUUUAAAAUAGGAAUCAAAAUUGGAAUAAGAAUGGAAAUGGACUGGAAUCAAACACAGAAUAAUGAAAACAAUGUGUUCCCAACAUCUUGAAUCGUAACCAUAUUUACCAUGCAACGAAUAAGUGGCCAGUUGAUGUCGCAGAAGAAAGGAUGUUGCUUGAUCUCAUUUGCUCCAGAACUUGAUCCCAAACGAUUAGCAGGGUCUCUAUGGAGUAAUCCAUGGAUUAGUUGCCUUGCUGCUAGGCUAACCUGGCCAGAAUAAGAAAGAAAAAAAAGACCAGUCAACUAGGUAUUUAUUCAUCAAUAAUAUUUCAUAGAAUGAAAAAUGCACACUUUUACUCAUACCAGUGGAAAAAAAGCUUCUUUACAUAUUGAACAUUCUAGAAACUAUGCCUGUCUUAGUUUUCUAUUACUCUGCAAACUACAGAAAUUUGUAGUAUUAAUUGCAAGAGAACAGAUCUUUCCUAUUUAAAUCAUGUUACUCUGACAAUAAGAUACAACCAACAUAUAGUGUGGUGUUAGGUAGGGAAAAAAGGGGAUUUUCAAGCAUUUAACGAUCUAGCAGAUUUUUCCUAGCUAAAAGUUUCGUGAAGUCCAAAUAUCCUGUUCGUUUUUCCGGUCGUAACUAUGAAGGUUAAGGUUCUUGGUAUGGCCAUUAGGCAUUACCACUACAAGUGCUAGAUUAUGAGUCAGUUUUUUUCACCCUCUGUGCACUUCUACCACUAAAAUGCAACCUGAUUCAGAGGCAAGUUUCUCACCGGAAUGCUGCUUGGAAAUGUGAGGUCCUUGUGCAAAAUGUUGGAAAAUGUCCUUCUUCUAUUCUUUCCUCGAAAAGGUGUGCGCCCAUAUAACAUCUCAUAAAGCAAAAUUCCUGCAUUUUAACAUAAUUAGUGGUUAAAGCAAAUAUAUAAGCAGAUAUUAUUCAGAGAUGCCAAACAUUUUGCAUGCCAAACAUUUUGCUCUGUGUUGAUAGAUAGUAUUUGUGAGAUGCCAAUGUAUAUGCUCAUUUAAUUGUUUUCAUAUGUGUUAGGGCAUUACUUCGAGUAAUUGAUGGGCUAUGUUGCUGAAGUGAGUGGAAAGACUGAUGAUUUUGUAACUUGUGGCUUUCUAUUAGUCAGUUCAAAAGAGAUCGCACUCUGGUUUGCAGUAAGGAUAUUAGUUAGAAAGUGAGUUCCUAAAUAGCUGGUAUUUAUCCAUGCACAUCAUUUGUGACAUAAUAUUUCUUUUUUGACUCUCUUGUCAAAUGUUAUAAUAUCAUAAGAAACUAUUACAGAACAAGAGUAAAGAUCUCAUGCACUUCCAUGGAUCUCACAAGUUUGGUCAUAUGCAAUGAUGUUUCAUGAAUCAUGGUAGUAAUACUGAAAAAUUUGAUGCGGUAAAGAAUCUUACCCUGUCCUGUUGGUUUAUUCUUACAAAAUGGAAAGAGAUUGUUGUAGAAAUGUUAGUCAUUUAACGAAAUUAUUAAAUGGGGCUUUCAUCUGCCCUCAUUUUACAGUACCAUGUACAGUUAUGGUCGUCUUAGAUGUAUAUCCAGUAGAGUAGAAGGGCAUACAAUACAGGAAGGGUCUCACAAGUUUUCUCCAAUAUGGUAAAAAUGUAUGGAACUUACUUGAACUAUGGACCAUUUGAAUUUGGCUACCCAACCUUUCAAAAUUUUGAUUUUACUAUCCAACUUUUUAAUUUGUUUGAUUUGAAUCAAUAAAUAGCACUUGUAACUUCAAAUUAAGCUAAUUACCAACUUUAAUGAACUUAUAGUUGUGAGAAUUGCAUGGAGUAUAUAAACUACACCUGUAAAGAUAAACGAUGCAUUCAAAUUUUGAAGUCAAAGUGUAAAGUCAAAUCAAACAAAUUAAAAUGUUAGAUAGUAAAAUUAAAAUUUUGAAAGGUUGAGUAGCCAAAUCCAAAUGGUCCAUAGUUCAGGUGAGUUCCAUAUGUACUCACCUUUCAAUAUUAACACUUGAAGCAACUUACAUUCUCGUGAAAGAAGAAAAAUUUAGGAUGGCAAAUUGCAAUUGUGGUGAAACUGCAUUGGAGAUUCAUUUUGUUUUCCAUAAUCACUCCCAGGUAGUGUGCCUUCUAAUGUAAAUGAUGAUGAAAAACUUUUUUUUCUUAACCAAUAAAAUCAUGUUAGUGUAUUAUUAUUGAAAUAAAAACUAGAUAUAUAUAUAUAUAUAUAUAUAUAUAUAUAUAUAUAUAUAUAUAUAUGAGCUAGAAUGUUAUCAGUAGCAAACGGGNGGCUAUUAAUAAUCAAAAAGUAGAUCCAAUGGCUUAAAACCUAAUAGCACCAUGAUAGUGAUACUUGUAAAACUAUCAUAGCUCAACUCUCUCUCUCUCUCUCUCUCUCUCUAUAUAUAUAUAUAUAUAAUUUUAGAUAUUGAAUGUGUUGAAUGGAGGAAGUUUCAGAAAAAGUAUAUCUUUCUAGCAAUGAUGGAAAAUUGUUCAAUGCUUCCAUUUGCUAGUAUGUUUUGCUUUUCCCAAGAAAAUUUGCUGGUACUGUACCAAGAGCCCACCAGUCGAUGGCGCUACUAUGGCCUGCCCCCGUGAUAAUCUCCUGAAACAAGGAUAUGCAAGAAGACGGAUUAUCCUGAGAAUGAGCUGAUAUAUAGGUGUUGUCUAUAGCUUACAGUGACUUUAUUGAAAAGGCAGAGGAGGAGAAGCGAUGGAGGUUAUGACAUCCACAUUUGGCAGAACAUCACCAUGUGACACAUAACAUAAUGACAAUAUGUUUUCGUCUUUCCUUAAGUUUAUUAAGGUCAAAGACACUGGGAGGAUGGCAUUCUUACUAUUUAUAUAUAAAUUUUGUUUGACAACAACGAAUAAUAGUGGGGCAUUAACAUAGUUUCUUUUUUGUUUAGAGAAAUGCUGUGUUUGCAGCCUAAUUUACUCAUAAAUAACUAGUAAAUCACAAGAAGAGAAAGAUCAUACAGGUGCUAUGUACUCUUCUGUUCCAACAAAUGAAUUUGAUUGUGUACUAGGUUCUGCGAAAAAGGUUGGGGGAGGCUGAUCUUUUGGUUUCCUCCUCUUUGAUGGUGUUGCAUGCUGCAUCACCUGCAAAACGGGAAAAAAAGGAAAAGGGAAAAAGGAAUGCGUUUUAUUGAAGGAAAAUUUAUGGAGAAAGUGGCUUACAAAGUGAAAUCAGAACGCUGAAUAUUUUGCAAACACUAGCUUUAGCAUCAAACACUGGAGAAAUGCAUAAAUGCUAUGCCCAAGAUGCUUCAGGGAUGACAACAAAAGAAGGACUAAGGAGUCAUGUUGGGUAUAGAGUAAGAGCUCAUGUUGUUCAGUUCAGAGCAGUAGCAUUUAUGUUCCGUCGUCAACCAAAAUGAACACUAAUAACAAAUUUUCCUUCCUUUCAUCAGUUGGGAGUGGAAGUUAGUUUAUUGGUCUUUAAGAAUGCCAUUAUUUCCAUCUGCCUUGAUGGCAUUUUUCUUUUUCUUUUUAUCCCAAUCGGAGAUAUCUUUUAUUAUCUAUAUAUCAUUUUCAUGGUCACAAUUUGACCUUUCUCUUCAAUCUUGAGAGAUCUUCAUUUCACUUACAUGGUGACAUAUAGGAUGUACUCAAUACGUCUUUGAAUUUGUUAGUGAAGUUUUUGACUUGAAAGAUGCUAUUCGGGUAUUGGUUUAUGUCCAACUAAAUUGAGUCUUCGUUACAAGGAAAACUCAUCUGUGGAAUCAUCAUUGUGGUAAAAUUUUUCACAAGAAUCACACCCUCUGCAUGAUUUAAAUUGUUUUCAAUUAAGGCAUGUUUGAACUUUGAAUAAACAUUUUCUGCAAGAACAAUUAAUUCAGUUAUUAUUGCACUUAACUAGUGUUGCUUACUCAGUUAUUUACUACGGUGACUGGUAUUAGCAGAUUGGGAUCUUUUGGAGGAGGAAUAUAUGCUUUAGUUGUAUAUUGGUAGAUCGCAUGUAGCCCCCGUGCUGUCUGUAGCCUACUAUGCCACCAAGCAACAGACUGUUGCAUCCCUGCUCAAUGUUGUUUCAUGUUUGCUUUUAUUGCAACAUUAUGAUAAUUUAAGGCCGCCACAGAACAAUCGCUGAACACCAUCAGUAAUUUAAGGUUGCAAUCAUUGUGCCGCACCACACUAUGUUGCUGUGAAAGUCGAGCAGCGUUGUAAAACAAAGGGGUAAGCACUACUCAGUAACAGGGUGUAGAUGCUGUAGAUUAUGAAGGUAUCAGGUUUUGCUGGUCAAAUUGGACAUACACGUGAUCAGCCGGUAAGGCCAUGACACAACAAAAACAGUGAAGGAGCAGUUGAAAAUGCCUAUAAACAAUGAAGAUAAGAAGGUGAAGACUCAGGUGUGCAUUUAACUCGGCAUUUAGAAAAUCUCUUGGAAAAUCAAGAAACUGUUGGAAAUUGAGAAUCUAAUGGAGUACUUACUUGAGGAUUGCAGGAUGUUAAAAAUGAUAAAUCAAAGUCAGUCAGAACUAUAUGGCCGUCCUUUUGGAGCAAGAUAUUUUCUGGUUUCAGAUCACGAUAGAUGAUUCCUACAUGAAAAUCACAUAUAUAUGUUAGCUGUUUUGGCUGUUUUCAAGAUAUGUACAGAAAAAGCAUGUAAACUUCACUGCCAUAAUAUGCAGGGGGGGAAAAAUUAAGAACUGCACAAGCAUGUGCACUAUAAAUUAAUAAAUUCAUUACCUAGGCAGUGAAGAUAUUCGAGGCCAAUGACAACUUCUGCAGCAUAAAACCUGAAAAAUUUUAAAAUCAUGAAUUAUUUGGGAUACAGUAUUGACUUAUAAAUCGCCAUAGUUAUCAUCAAAAUAAAAACAGUUUAGAGGUGUUUCUCAAUGUAACAUAGUCAUAUAAAAUACAGUGUGCCUACAAAGCCGCAUAGCAGAUAGCAAUUCUGAGAAUCUUUAUCGAUGAUAUUACAUGGUUAAUAUAUGAUUUAUCUGUUUCUCUUUCCUUUAUUUGGCGAUAAGUAAGAUUUGUAAUAUGCAAUGAUAUUGACGAAAUCAAUAGUUUUUAGAUCAUAAUUGAGGCAUUGCAUGAAAAUAGAAGGUAUAGGUAAUGAUGGCUUACAAAAUGAGUGAAGGUUCAUAUAAACUAAUAAUUCCCCUAAUGAAUUGCAAUUCCAUGUUAUAAAAUUUAGGACAUUUCCAACCCUUCUGAAGGAUAGGUCGAAUAGAGUUAUUAAAAUGUGUAUACCUUUGGUAUUCAUUUCCACCAAAACACACAAAACUGCCUUUUGUAGAAAUCUCUUUGUAGAUACACUUGGAAAUUGUAUAUGUUGUCAAGCACUUCAUGUGGUUGUACAUAAAUAGGUAGCAUGAGGGCUAUUUGAUCUCAAAACUGCUGUUACUUUUACUUUUCUAAGGUAAAGUUGAUAUAAAUGAUUUUAUUUCACUUUUAGCAGAAAAAAAUUUCAAUAGAAGUUCGAAAUUACCCCUUUCAAUUAAUCAAUCAAGAAACUAUUCAAAUUAACCUAGUGAAUUGAAUAACAUCAGACCACUUUCUGGUUGCACCUUGCAGCUUCCUCUUUGAAGAUCUUCAUAGGUUGCUGGUCAAGCAACGCAAACAGCUCUCCUCCCGGACAGAAGUCUGUUAUUAGACAAACAUGCGUCGGAGUCUGAAGAAAGAGGAUAAUCAGUAAGAUGUGUUUAGCUAGAUAAAUAUAAUCAGAAAACAUUGAGAUUAUCUAUGUCAAAUUAGAAUGAAAACUGGCUUAUUUGGUGCAUAAAGAGGUAUAUCACACCUUAUUAAAGGACAGAGUUAACCUGAAAUGAAGCGUACAACGUUGGAAGAAAGGGAUGAUCCAAUAGUGAAUAUAUCUCUCUUUCAACGCAUGCACGAUGAACCUGGAGCGCAAACAAAGUGGCGAACCAACUUUUAUUCACUGACGACUCUUUGAAGUACCUCACACAGGGACUUCACGAGGGAACAGAAUAUAUAAGAAAAAAAAACUGCAAAUCUUGUACUAGUGCAAAAUGAUUAGCAUUUAUCAGCCCAUCUCAUGAAGACUUAUUCCUCAUCAUGUUUUCGAUCCUUUAUUUGGUUGGUGCAUAGUGUAAACAAGCCAAUUUGGUGACCGUUCAUCCAUGCCAUCCUAUAUUAUAGCAUUAUACAUAUUUUCUAGGGUUGAAUGUGCCAUAGUUCCUACGGUCAAGAGUUGUUUCAUAGCAAUAAAGAUAUGUUUUGAAGAAAAUGGCAAGCAGGAGAGCACCUUGUUUCGGUUGAACAUUACUGAUUUAUCCAUUGCCUUCAUAGCAUACAGUUCGCCAGUUCCUUGUAGCUCCACCAAGUGUACGCUGUAGAGCAUCAGAUAACCCUAUUAGAAUCUAUAGAAAGCCUUAAGAAACUCUUGAUAGCAGUAACUUCGGAGAUAUAUCGAUGAAAGUACAUUUAUGUAAUUGAUGUCAUACAGAUAUCUCAAAACAUGAUGUGUGAAAACAUUGGUACUACUAACAUCAAGUUAUGUAUAUGUUUGAUGUGUUCACAAUGAUAAAGUUCUGCUAAUAUAUGACCAAGCAAGUGUGCUUUUUAUUAUUUUCCUGAAAGUAAACAUAAGUAGACAUUAAGUAUAAGAUAUUCCAUAAGGACUUGAAUCCAAAUAAAAUGUUUAUACCUGCCAGUAUCACCACAACCCAAAGGUUUUAUAGGUCUGAAGUGCUUCAAGCCAAUCCUUUCCCCUUUGCCGGUAACCUAUGAGAACCCCAAAAAAGAGUGGUGUGUUAAAUAACCUGGAGAUGAGGUUUGAAAUGCGUAUGCGUUCUUUCUAGUACAAUAAGAUUCAUCAUAUAUAAGCAAGGAAGCAUUUCAGUACUCACAGAAGGCCAUAAUUCUGCAAUAUAUCCAUGAUGAUCUCAUAUAACUUUAAGAGUGAAAUAGAAAAAUCUCAUACAUUACAACCUUCCAGAUCAACCUACUAAACUUUUAAAGUGAAGCCAUCAGUGGAGUUUAGAAGACUUUCCAGAAAAGAAAUAAACUGUAAGUCAUAUAUGUGCAUGAUUUUCUGCUUUCAGAUGCCCUAUGCUACAUGAUCAGUUGCGCUUGUACCAUAUUUGAAUGAACUUCCUAAUUUUAUUUUAUUGGAGCAGUUUGAAUGAACUUCCUAAUUUUAUGUGAUUGGAUUUGGAGCAGUAGUCACAGUUAAAUCUAGCAAGUUUUAUAUAACAUACCUUCUCUAUAGCUACCCAAGAAGAAUUGCUCUUUUUGUGAGGUUUCGGAAAGACAGGUUUGGAAUGGAUUGCCCACAAGUCCUCCGGUCUCUGAAGUAGUAAUUGGUCAAAGACAUUGCAAUAUACAGUAACCCUUUCUUUGUCAAAAGAGAAUAUCUAGUGGUUAGUUCCAGGAAUGUUAACACAUGAUAAAUUUGUAGUAGUACUGCACAUUGCUGUCCUGAAAGUAAGCACGCCUCAACAAUCAAACAUUUUGGUGAAACGGUAAUGACACUUGUGAUCAUUUGAGACUACAAAGCACUUCGACAUCAGAAUAUGAAAUCCUUAGUAGAAGUGGAGCUUAUGCUUUCUAGUUCACCCAAGGAAACAUAAACCCUAUUUUGCAAUGAUAACAGUGAAUUUGCCGAAGUGUUUAUCAACUACGAGAGUUUCAGAGAGGGAAUAACACUAAUACAUGGUUUAUAAAUAGUCAUAUAGUUCACAUUUUAAGCACCUUGUAUCUGACAUUUAUAAACAUUUCAAAUCGACAUUUAGACCAACAAGUACAAUCAUACAUAAUUUUUUAAAUAGAUUUUAAGAUCCAUUUUACCAUUGUUCAUCAGUAUUAAGUAGAAAACCUAAUUUUAGUAAUCAUUCAAUCAUAACCAAAUAAAAUGUACCUUACCAAGUUUGCAUCAGGAAGCUCUCUUACAGCUUCAUCAACAUUCUCAGCUGUAGCUUUAACCUGAUUAAGGAGACGAAAAUCAGUAGAUCGUAAAAAUUAGGUCACUUUUUUCACACAGCUGUUUCCAAAGCAAAUAAAUAGAGAUGGAUAAGACCAAUUUUUAUUGUAGGUUCUGAAAAUCAAAGCCAGCAUCAUAAUCUUUUAAGAAUAUCAGUUAAAAGACAAUUGCUUGAUUAUGGUCCCAUCACUGUAGGAUCCUAGCUAGAAGUUAUGGCCCCGCCAAAGUGGUGUCUUACAAGGAGUCUGGAGGUAAUCUACCAUUCAUCAUUUUUUGGCAUGAAGUAGCUUCUUUCAAGACUCAAACCUCCAAAAUUGUGGUUUUGAGCCCAAUAUUUCACCGCUGCGAUAAUUAAUAACCCCUAUCUCAUCAGAAUACUACUUCACAAAGUAAUGACUCCUAUUAUCCUAUCUCAUUGACAGUUGUGGAGAACAACAAACUUCAAAAGAUUAAAUGAUGAUUAUGAUUAUGCAAUUCCCGCUACAAAUUGCAUAAAUGGCAAUUUUAUAUCAGAUGACAUUUAAAAUGAGAAGUACAGCAACAUACUCUAAUUCUCUGAAUAAUGAUAAAUUGGAAAAUGUACGCAAAUAGCAAAGGAAUUUACCACUUUGGCACUCUGCAUCUCAGUCGUAUCUGAGAGACGAUUCCGAAGGGGUUCAACAUGAUCGCUCCCAUCUAAUUGCACACCAAUGAAGUAUUGAAGCUCGCCCUAACAAUAUAAGAAGAAAUUACACCAGUUCAAUUAAAAUUGAAGCUUUGAUAUCUAACAGAAUAUGCAAAAAAUAAAAUAAAAUAAAAUAAAGCAGUUGCACAAACUAAGGAUCUUGUUAAGCACCUUCUGGUCACGCAUAGGUUGCAAGUGGAACAAAUUCCAGAAUUUCUUUCCUGAAUCAAAUUCACCAACAGCAAAAUUUAUUCCCAAAGGAACUAAAGACUUACUGGUAGAAGUAGCAUUCCAUAUUGAUCUAAUUCCUUUCAGCAGAUUGCAUAAUAAAAGCAACACAAAAUACAAACCUAGAUGGAUUUUAUAUUUUGACCUUUUUAUAUGAGUUAAUGAGGCUACGGAAUUUGAGCUAUUAUAAAAUCAAUGCAAAACUUACCACUCUUUGUAUAGUUAAUUAGUUGAACAGUAAUUUCCCUUUGUUCUCUAAUCGCAUCUCUUAUCUUUGCAACAGUUCCUUGAUCUGUUUCAGGUCCUUGAAGAAACCUGUAGUACCAAGGAGAUUACAUCUAGAGUUUAUAUGAAUAUUUAAUAUAUCAGCAAAAUAUAAAUACAGUAGUAUCAUGGGAUGGAAUUAAUUCCUAACUUGAUAUAGAAGCUGUCCGGUAUACUUCCACUGGCAGAAAGUAAAGUUCAGUUGCUCAACAGUAUAUACAAGAAUCAUGAAAUGUAUAUAAAUAGCAUCAUUUCAGAAACUUGGUUUUUGCUUGUAUAUCUUGAUGAAGAGAAAAAUCUGGUGAUAUCAGAUUAAGUUCUGGAGGUUUUUAAGUGGAAAUUCUCUAGUGAAAAAUUGGAAAACUAUAGUUUUUUUUAAAACAUUAAUAAGGAGUUGAUAUCAAUGCUGUAGUAUAUUUAUAAUUUCAAUUUAUUUUUAUACAGGUGAAUAUUAAUUGAAAGAGUAAAAUCUUUUACUGCAAUACAAGGAUAAUCACAGCACAAUAGAAAUAAGUAAUUACUGCCAUUACUAUGAGCUUAACCAUCAAGUCCAUUAGAAAAUGUGAAAGUAAUUAUCAAAAAUCAGAGACAGUUACUAUGCUUGAGAUUAUAUUUCAUAUACUCAAAUAUAUAACUAAUUAUAAAUCUCAAACACUGAUUUUCCUUUACAAGAAAAAGAAAAAGAAAAAUCUCAACUACUAAAAACUUAAAACCAUGAUAUACAAUAUUUCACCUUGAAAAUUCUGAUUCAUUAUUAGUAUGAAGCCUUCAAAUUCAUCUCUCCAAAAAAGUACUCAAGAAAUAUUAACUUUAUAGCAAAGAUCAGGUGUUGGCUAAAGGUUAAGUUCCCUUGAGAAUUCAUCAUUUCCUUACCGACAAUUUCUUCCUAAAAUUUCUUCACGUGCAUACUCCGUCAGCUCGAGAAAGCUAUCAGAAGCAAAUAUCUGCAGUAAAUUGACCAAAAUAUUAGUCAUUUCCACAAGUCUGUGUAUAGGAAAAGGAGAAAAGCUUUAACUCAUUGCCAUGAACAGUGCUCCCAGAAUUCUUGUUAUACUUCAAAAUUGCUAAUAAGAAAGAGCACAUGACAAAAGGCAUCAUUAAGCUAGGCAUCAUUAAGCUAGCCAUUAAAGUGAUUAUAUGUGUUUUGAGCUAUCCAGCAGAAAGAUUGGACUCCCCAUAAGUGACUUUCUCUUACUAUUGGGUUGUCAGGCAGUCUCGGAUCUGUAAUCACAAAGUUCUUUUCGAUACGCUCCAGUGUUGUAGCUAAAUCAAUUCCUUGUCGUAUCUCCUUUUCUCUUUCUACAUGAUCCCAACUUUCAGUGCGUUGUACAUCUUUGGUCAUUAAAAUCUCUGGCUCAAUAUUCAAUUCCCGACUUCCUACAGAACUUCGCUUCUUGCCUUUGAACCUGCAAAUUAAUAGAGAAAUUAGAGAUUACACACUGUUCAUAGGGGGACUGGAAAACUGAAUGCAAAUCACUGCAGGCAAUGAUGGCAGUGUGUAAGACAAAUCACAACAUAAAAAACAGAGAACAUAUUAUAAAAGUAAGAAAGUUCCUUGUUCAACCAAAAUAGAAGUUAGUAGCAAAUAUUGUCAAAUUAUGAGGUUUGCUACAAUUUGUGGAGUGGUGAUAAUGUGAAGAAGUUGGAACUGGCUGUGAUAGAGAUUAGAUGCGGAAAAAAUGAUGAGAGAUAGCUGCUAAUAAGUGCAACUCUUGAUUUAUGAUACAGUUUCAAUCUCCCUCAAGAACUACAAGUGGUUGCGUUAGUAGUAGUUAGACCUACCGACCGUCCCUAGAGCAAGUGGCAAAGGGCUUGGUGGUUGGUACCCGAAACCCAAGUUCGAAUCCUAGUUGAUUCACAUUUCCAGCUAAGUUUAUUUCUAAAUGAAAUAAACGAAGCGGGUAGCGUGCUACCUAUCUCUCAAAAAAAAGAAAAAGAAAAAAAAGUAGUAGUUAGACCUUUGAACUGUGCAAGUGGUUACUUGUGAUCCUUGGAGCUGCUCACCUUAUACUUUUUCAUACUACAAGCAAGGAUUUAAGUGUCGUGGCAUGGGAUCGUGCCGAGCAUUUGUUGGCACGAUACAUCAUAGUGCGUGCCUAGACGAAAUAUACCAUUCACAAAAGUACCCAUGCCCCAAGACAUUAUUGCAUAAAAUAUUCAUGUUCGUUGGCACCAAUAUUUUCUAAUUGCUUAUUAUAUAUUUUUAUCAAAUUUUUUGCACUUAUUAAUGUAACUACUUAUUAAUUUCAAAGAAAAGAGUGUUUUGAGCUAUGCUGUUGGCAUGGGGACUGUAUCGUGUCCAUAUAUUGUCGACACUGUAUGGCACAAUAGACAAGGCCCGUGCCGUGAGCACUUAAAUCCUUGUCUACAAGUAUCAAAAACUAUUAUAGGAAAAUUGUUAUGUCAUUUAAAAAGUUUGUUGAACUUCAAAAAAUAUUGCAAAUUAUGUUAUUUGAGUUGUGAGAAUUAGGACUUUGAAUUGCACUUUUAGCGGGGUUAUGAAAUAACCAUAUUGAUGUUGUUUAUAUAUCUAUAAAAUAACCAAAAGAUACUCUCAAUGAAGGAGAUAAGUUAAACCGUACCCAUCCUUGCAGUGAAAGCAGCACUAUUUAUGAAGGACUACCAAUCAUAUAGAAAUAGAAAUUUCUCAAAUAGAAAUUUCUCAAAAGAUAUGCAGGAUUACCAAUCAUAUUAGAUUUUUCAAGUUUGAUCCAUCUCCACAUUGUUAUUAUUUAGCAACAACAAAGCACGAUUAAGUAUACAUUUUCCUCCUAAUGCAAUGAAGUUGAGAAGCAAUCUAAACUCACCCAAUUAGCGACAACCGGCCUGAUUUCCUAGUGCUCAUUCUUGAUGAUUCAUUUUUGACAUCUAUAAGGGGUGUUAGUCUGCCCGGUGACUUGAAGCUUUUCAGCUCGGCAGGUGUUUGAAGCGGAGAGUCGAUGUAAACGUUUUCUUGCUCAUUGAGCUUCGCAGGAAACUCAUGCUCUGCUACAACUUGUGAGUGGGUAUGAGGAUGCCUUACCGUCUGGACAACCUCUGUUAUCGAAGACAAAGCUUUCUCCUUUUGUCGAGCUGGUAAGAGAAAAUAGUAGAGUUAGCCUACUAUGAGCAGAAUAGAUAGAUUUACAUUGAACCAACCAAUUUGUAGAGAAAGAGAGAGAGAGAGAGAAAGGAGGCGGAGAGAGAGAGAGAGAGAGAGAGAGAGAGAGAUGGAGAGUAUGUCUGAUAG